rfam:Nicotiana attenuata strain TT scaffold02421, whole genome shotgun sequence.
GGAUGCGAUCAUACCAGCACUAACGUACCGGAUCCCAUCAGAACUCCGAAGUUAUGCGUGCUUUGUCACGACCCAAAAUCCACUAAGGGUCGUGAUGGCGCCGGAC